CCAGGCCAGGGGUCCAAUUGGAGCUGUAGCCACCAGCCUACAUUACAGCUCACAGCAACGCCGGACCCUCAACCCACUGAGCGAGGCCAGGGAUCGAACCCGCAACCCCAUGGUUCCUAGUCGGAUUCAUUAACCACUGAGCCACAACAGGAACUCUGGGUUAAGUCAUUUUUUUCAGUUGUAUAAAUUGGUUACUGCAGCUCUGAGCCUAGAGCUGAAACCUCCUACUUCCGGGUGUUGAUCUUUCUAGAUAGCGCUCAUGGGCUUGCUUCCAACUCCAACUAUGACUUGACAUUAAAUAAGUCAUUAUACCUCACUGCCAUGGUCUUUCUUUGUGUAUACUCUUGCCUGAUAAUCUUUCUUAUUUACAGAAUCAGGCUAAUGACCGCCCUUCUUUGCAUCCCAGGAUGAAAUGGAUACUGUUUUCCUCUUCCUGUCAACCUGUCUAUAGUUAGAAAUGUGACGGACAGGAUAUGGGCCACGUGACAAAGCCUCCUUCGCCAUUAGCCAGAGAGCACCUCCCACAGAGUGCAUCUUAUGUAGGAACUACACUCCCCUAUACCUAUACUGACACCUAAUUGAGCUCACAACAUCCUAUGUUCCCAUCUCUUUCUGUAAUUAUUUUUUCUUGAACAAACUUCUUAAAGGCAAAAACUUCCCUAUGCUAAAAAGGUAAAUGAUCAGACUCCCAGAAGUUGUGGAUCUAGGAGAAGGCAGUCAAUUACUAACACAGAAACAAAAUUAUCCGAAGCCCUUGAGCUGCAGGGAGAUCCUGCCAUGACAGAGACCACUGGCUGCCCAUACAAUAUCCGUCCUUCUCUUUAAACUUAGUAGCAGAACAUGUGUAUUUUGAGGGGAGCAAAGUGACUGGAGAAAAUUAACUUUCCCAACAUCCCCUGAAGAUAGAGCUGACCAAUGAGAUAUUAGCAGAAGUUCUUAGGUACGGUCUCUAGGAAGGAAUUUUAAGAAAGCUAUUGAACCAGAACUAUCCUUCUGGUUAGUUCCAUCCUUCAUUCUUCUUCCUUUGGUGAGACAGACAUGAUAGCCAGAGCAGUAGUAGCCGUCUUGAGCCCAUGAAGGAAGGAGACCAAGAGAAGCUCAGUUACCCUGACAUCCUUGAAGACACCAAAGCAGCUUCUUAUUAAGAAAACAAACCCAUAGGGAGUUCUCGUCAUGGCUCAGUGGAAACGAAUCUGACUAGCAUCCAUAAGGACGCAGGUUCAAUCCCUGGCCUUGCUCAGUGGGUUAAGGAUCUGGCAUUGCUGUGAGCUGUGGUGUAGGCCAGCAGCUACAGCUCUGAUUUGACCCCUAGCCUGAGAACCUCCAUAUGCCAUAUGCGUGGCCCUAAAAAGGCAAAACGAAAGAAAGAAAACGAACCCUUAAAGUUUUAGACCAUGGGGGAAUGUUUAGGACAGUGAAAAGAUCCUGUGUGUCGGUGAAGUAAGAUACUGAAUUUGUUAUAAAUGUUACCAGAUGAUGAUGAUGACAUUACAUUUAUGAAGGUGACAGGCAUGGAGGCAGGUUGAGUAGCUCAUCCCAGGUCUCCCGGCUAAUAAAAAGGAAGCUGGGCUUUGAAUCCAGAGUCCAUGCUUUGAACUCCAAGACAAUAAUAUCACACACAACAAAGAAAUACAGUCUGCACAAGUUAACCUCCACAUAUACACAAUAUUAAAGGAGCUUCGUUGAUUCAUUAACAAAAAUCUUACUACAUGUCAUCCUACACUGCUUCCCUACUUGAGAGAUCACUUCCUGUAGGAACUGAGGUGCUUGUUAAGCUGGCAAUACAUUUGACUGGUGUCAUAGCUGCCUUACGUGUUACCUUAAAUACCGCUGGGACCAUGAUCACAGAGUCCACUGCAAGACUCAUCUCCCAAAAAUGAGCUCUGAUCACAUCCGAGCCCUUCGCCCACGUCUUCAGCAGACCUGACACCUGAGCCACAGCGGAACUCCCGAACUAUCCCUAAGUUAAAUGAUUUACCGGUUAAGUUGGGAAGAGGUUUGGGGGCUUCAGUUGCAGACAGAGAAAGAGAGGUAUAAACAGCUGUCCCCUUGCUGCGGUUUACUGUGUAAAGGGGUGUUGGGGGUGGGGAGGGAGUGGACAUUUGUUUUUAAAUAAAACCCAGCAUUCAUGGUGCUUUGUAAAAAAUCUAUCUAAGUCUAGCCUAAUGGGGGCUCCCAGAGCAGGUGGACUCUGGUCAUUUUGCUUCUCUCCUCUUGGGCAGCACACAUUCACCUGGGGCCUUGUUUUCUAGGGAAGGGGAUGUGGGGGGGAGGGGAGAGGGGCGAGAAGGGUGUGAGGGUGACCAACUGAAUUGCCUCAUGAACCCUGAAAUGCAGCUGAUUUGGAGCUUUUUCAUUCUUCGUUCAUUUGAAACCUUAUAGAGCCCUUGUUUGUGCAAUGUGACGUGUUAGUCUAAUGGGGCAAGAAAAGCACUUCAGACCAUCAGACGUGGGUGCUGCCCAUGCCCCCACCCCUGGAGCCCCAGACGCUGGGGAGAUGCCACAGCCAGAGGCUGCACCCUGCACAUAUAUGCACGAGACUCUGGAGGCAGGGAGCAAAAGCCUGUCGCAUCCUGUGAGCAGGGGGGCACUGCUCGAAAUAGCUCAAUUUGAAGAGAACUAAAAUGAGUCA
rnacentral:lncRNA from 1 species